AUUGAACGCUGGCGGCAGGCCUAACACAUGCAAGUCGAACGAGUGGCGGACGGGAGAGUAAUGUCUGGGAAACUGCCUGAUGGAGGGGGAUAACUACUGGAAACGGUAGCUAAUACCGCAUACCAUCGGAUGUGCCCAGAUGGGAUUAGCUAGUAGGUGGGGUAAAGGCUCACCUAGGCGACGAGCCCUAGCUGGUCUGAGAGGAUGCCCAGCCACACGGGAACUGAGACACGGUGCAGACUCCUACGGGAGUCAGCAGUGGGGAAUAUUGGACAAUGGUCGAAAGCCUGAUGCAGCCAUGCCGCGUGUAUGAAGAAGGCCUUCAGGUUGUAAAGGACUUUCAGCGGGGAGGCGGUACCCGCAGAAGAAGCACCGGCUAACUCCGUGCCAGCAGCCGCGGUAAUUC
rnacentral:rRNA from 1 species